rnacentral:lncRNA from 1 species
GGUCACCCAACAGAAGAGAAGUCCAUCAACAGUCAGAAAUGUCUGCCUUGUCAAGUUUGUCAAGAGUUGGAAGUGGACUUCAUGGGGAUCAGACUGAGCCUGUGGAGUGUACUCUGAAUUAUGCUCCAUUACUUAUGAACUGAAGCAGCGCAGCACUAUCUGCCCAGGUGUAUAUGACUCUUUUUAAUUCAGACAUGCUUAAGGAUGCAGUAAGAAACCUGGAAGCCAGAUUCAGGCUCAGCCUAGUUCCCUUAGGGAAAAUCACUCACCUCAGCAGCGGCCAGUUUCUAGGAAAGUCCUUCAGAGAAUCCAUUAAUAACAACUGCUUGCUGCUAACUACUUCCUGGGAAUGCAUACUUCAUAGAAGAGACAACAAAUGAGGAACCUUUUUGAAGAGCAUACUAAUCAAGCUCAAGAAGUGUCCUGCUGAUCGCUAGAAUUGGCUGAAUU